UCUAAGCACACCAGUUGGGCAGCCCAUCCACAGUGAUCAUUUUCAACACACAGAGGAAGAAUGGCUACAGCCGACAAUGAAUGGCACUGAAUGUUAAGAGACAGAGACUGAGAAAAUAGAGCAUCGGAAGUCAAAAGCAGUGCCUCUAAUUAAUGGAAAUGUAUGGAGCAUCGGAGAUGACGUCAUUGAGCCUGAUGUAAGGCUGCCUGUCUCUCUGAAGAGGCCUUCAUAACACAUCAGCAGCCUUCCACCCACUCACAUUCUGUUCUGGAGAGGAGUAAUGUGCACAGCUAUGAGCUACAACAAAGCAGAGACACUCACACCGAAUGAUAACGAUGUUACAGAGAAACACACACAUGACCUGUGGUUGUUGAUCAUGAAAAUAAAAUAUAUCUCUUUGGAAAGAAGAA